rnacentral:rRNA from 1 species
GAUGAACGCUGGCGGCGUGCCUAACACAUGCAAGUCGAGCGAGGCGAAUUUGAAUGAAUCUUCGGAGGAAUUCUUAGGAGCCUAGCGGCGGACGGGUGAGUAACGCGUGGGCAACCUGCCCUAUACAGGGGGAUAACGCACCGAAAGGUGUGCUAAUACCGCAUAAAACUCUAGCAUUGCAUGAUGCAUGAGUCAAAGAUUUAUCAGUAUAGGAUGGGCCCGCGUCUGAUUAGCUAGUUGGUAAGGUAACGGCUUACCAAGGCGACGAUCAGUAGCGACCUGAGAGGGUGAUCGGCCACAUUGGAACUGAGACACGGUCCAGACUCCUACGGGAGGCAGCAGUGGGGAAUAUUGCACAAUGGGGGAAACCCUGAUGCAGCAACGCCGCGUGAGCGAAGAAGGCCUUCGGGUCGUAAAGCUCUGUCCUAAGGGAAGAAUAAAUGACGGUACCUUAGGAGGAAGCCCCGGCUAACUACGUG